rnacentral:rRNA from 1 species
UACAGAGGGUGCGAGCGUUGUCCGGAAUCACUGGGCGUAAAGGGCGCGUAGGCGGCUUGAUAAGCGUGCGGUGAAAGCCCGGGGCUCAACCCCGGAGGGUCUUCCGAAACUGCCGAGCUAGAGUGCGGAAGAGGCAACCGGAAUUCCCAGUGUAGCGGUGAAAUGCGUAGAUAUUGGGAAGAACACCAGAGGCGAAGGCGGGUUGCUGGGCCGACACUGACGCUGAGGCGCGAAAGCCAGGGGAGCAAACGGG